rnacentral:tRNA from 1 species
GGCCCAAUAGCUCAGCUGGAUAGAGCAUCUGCCUUCUAAGCAGACGGUCUCAGGUUCGAAUCCUGAUUGGGUCA